rnacentral:tRNA from 1 species
UAGCUCAGUUGGUUAGAGCAUCUGACUGUUAAUCAGAGGGUCGCUGGUUCGAGCC